CCCUUCUCUGUGGCGACAUAUGGAAGGCGUCAUCGAUGAGGAACAGGCCCACGGCAGAUACUGAACCUGUCGGGGCCUGGAUCCUGGACUUCCCGGCCUCCAGAACUGUAUCUCCACGUCAAACCUUCAUGAGGCGACACCGCAAGUAGCUGCUGAGGACGUAGCGGAUCCUCUCCAUCUCCAUUUGGUGGAUGCUGACCUUCAGGUCCUCCCUUUUGGCUCUCCUGAGAUUUUCUUCCUAUUAAAUGAGAAACUAAGGUUUAUAAAAAACAUGAUGUUCAACCAUCAUCAUUGGCAACGUUGAGGACCCAGACUAUGUUUCAGUCCAAGGAAAACAAAAAUAUCAUACCAAGACAAGCGACCCUUACCAUGUGCUCCAGCUGUUCCAUGACACAUUCUACAAUCUCAGGCUUGCUCUCCAACAGCUCAGGGGCAAACUUUUCAUUCAUCCAGGCCUAAAAGACAAAUGCCAGAAAAAUCAAGCAUCAUCCACCACAGAGCUAAACAACCUUGUGAGUCAGCCCAAGUCCCACAAAAACCAGGGACAGUGCAGGCGAGAAAACUGUCUGCCCACCAACUGGAAACACUGAAGCUGUUUUGAAGACAAACUACGUUUAGCAAUUGCUUUCUCAUGUCCUGUUUUAGUUGGGAGGAUAUGUUCAUAACCUUCUAUUCAACUGACACUCACACAAACCCUUGCUUACUUCAGUUAGUAUGACGCCUGGUGCUGAAAGUGACACCACCUGGUUUUCAAACCGUGGCUUUGCCAGGCAGCCCAGGCACACUGUUACUCCACCAGCUCCUUCCUCCCAGGGAGCACCACCCCAUGUCUAUUUAGAGAGAAAGCAACAACCCACCAAUCCACACAGCUCUUCAUUCCUGAAGCUCAGAGCACUUCACAAAUGUUUUUAAUUCAUCAUCAUCAUAUCGCAGAGAAAAUGGAUAUAGUUAUCCUCAUCUGAUUGAAAAAAUACAGAUUGAGUAAUUUACUAAUGGCCCCAAAGUAUACAGGAUCAUAAUAGAAACAGGCGCUCAUCUAUUAUGGAGUUUCGGAGCCAGAGGUUAAAGCUCUAAUUUAUGACUCAGGCCCAGCUGUUUGGUUCAUUUUAGAGACUUCUAAGGCUUAGAGAACUGAAAUAUCCCUAAGUGACUGACGAAAGCUACACUUAUCUUUCAAUUACAGGAAAUGUAGUUUUAGCAUAGCUCAGAAUUAUAUGCUGACCAGGCUCAACUUAUUUUUUUCUGAUGUCCUUGAGUGUCUGCUUCUCUCCAUGAUCACCAUCAAGACACAUUACCAAAUGCUGGGCAUGGCCACUGUCAUAAGUGUUUGUGCAGAGCCUGAGCAUCUGCAACAGUUCUGCAGACUGAAACAAACAAACAAAACCUUGCAUAAUGCAUGGGAAAACAUCGUAUUUUCUGACGGGCUUAUUAGGAGCAGUAUUUCUUUUUGACUGAUUUUUAUUAAAUACUGAAUAAUUUUUAUUUAUUUAUUUUUGAGGGACAGUCUCACUCU